CUCAAAAAAAGGGAAAUCACAGAAAUAAUUUAAAAGAGAGACUUGUUUCUUUAAAAGAAAUGAGAAUGACUAAGACAUGGGGAAAAUAUUAGUAUCAACUCCAAACUGCUAGGCUUGUGAAAUAUAAUGAUGCAUUUUUUCUCUAUAAUAAUAAUAAUAAUAAUAAUAAUGAGGAGGAGGAUUGUGGUGCAGAUAAGGCAAAUGGGUUAAUAAAAUGUUAAAUUUGUUUUCUGUGUAUACAAUAAGUCUCCACAUAUAUAGCAUGUGUUGGUGGGCAUGUGAGUGCAUGUGCACAUGUAUAUGCCUGCAUUUCUAAGCCUAAUGCCUGCACUCUUCCACUGUUAGGCUCUACUCUCUCUUUUGAGACAGGGUCUCUCCUGCUUCGCCUCCCUGGCUGACCAGUGAUCGGAGUAAGGCACCUGUUGAUCUCUCCUUGCUCCAAGCAGGUUACAUGUGUGGGCCCUCGUGCUUGGCUUUUUUCCCCUGGUACCAGAGAUCAGAACUUAGGUCUCCAUGCUUAGGGGACAGGCAUACUGACUGAACCAUCUCUCUUGCCCUUGUAAUCACAUUUAAAAUAUGCAUGCACAAAGAUAUCAUGAAAUAUUCUCCCCAAACUAUGUCAUUGCUAAUCAAUUGUGUAUCUAUACAUAUGUAAUCUAGCUAAGAUGUAGCUGUUUGCUUUAGCUCAAAUGACUCAGCUAAGCAGAUUUUUAUGAUUGCGUAGAGGAAUGAGUCUGAUCCAUCAUAUGUUGGACUUGGGGAAAGGCCCAUAGAGAUUGAGAAUGGUAGAAUGUCCCAUGAAUCCUCAGUGAGAUGGUUUUAACCUCUGCAUUACACUGCUAACCGUCUGCUCUUUCCGUCUGUGAGACGUUGCUCUGGGACAGCUUUCAAGAAUUUUCUAUGGGCAACAAGCCUUGGAGGACGUAAGCAUCUUACUGGGCAGCAGAGGAGAAGUUUCUUCACCUCUCAGGAGGAAGAAGUUCCUGCCGUCCAUCGCAUUAGAGGUUUGCGUGGCAGCUUUACCUUCAUACACUAUUAAAGGUUUGCAAUUUCAAGUUUCUCAACUGCUCACAGAAAUUUACCAUUAAAACAGUUUUCCUAGGCCUCUAUUCCAGGUGUCUUCAGAGGAAUAGUGAACAAGGGAAGCAGACGUGAACGUAAGAUACUAAGUAUCUUAACGUCCUCACAGUCUGAACCUUGCUCAUGUAUUCACUUCAUCACGUCAGUCACAGGGCAGUAAUCUUUUCUCCUUCAUUUCUGCCUCGGGUCACUUUGCUGUGCUACUGUUUUAUUUCCUGACGACACCUGGGUACCUAGAUACCAAGCAACACUGAUGCUUAUCAACAAAGGAUGGAGGGAAGACUGAAUGGGACUUGAGAUGCCUGAGGUUUUGAUCCGUGGUCCUUCGGCCCUGUUGCAGAAUUCUUGUCCAGUGGUGAGGCAGAGAAUCAUGGACAGAGCACAUGAUGGUGCGCAGCUACUCACAUCCUGGUCUGGUGACUGGCAGUCAUGACCACUCCCCCAAGAGUUUAUUAUGAAGAAGAGACAAGCAUCCCCCCAUAAAAGACCUCACGUGAAAGACAUAGUGAAGGACCACCUCAUAGAGCGUUGUGGGCUGGACUCCAAUUUGCAAUACCUGCCUUUAAAUUCUUCUGCAGCUCUCUGCACUCAAUCCUUUAUUAUCGAUGAACUCCAAAACAAAUGUGGAUGAAAGGUGGAUGCUUGCCUUCCAAACAAAAUCUGCCUUUGAUGGGUGAUGGGGAAGAAGCGAUAGAAAUGAAGGAUUUCAUGUGAAAAGCAAUCUAAUAUUCUACAAGGCAGCUAAGGGAUGCAAAAGGACAAUCCAGGAGGAGCAGCAUCUACAGUACAUUCUGGAAAAUACUGUGAUCCCACUCACUGUAACGCUGUCCAGCGUGACCACAUUCAGCGUGGCGUAGGCUUUGCGCUUGAGAGGCAGCAAGACAAUGGAGAGGAAUUUGAAUCCACAUGGUUACAUUCAACCUAUGUCCUCAGCUCAUCAAGAAGGCUUUCUGGGUCACACACACAGUUUACCCUCUUACUUUAGGGACUUUGGUCUGUACACAGAGUAUUUGACAGUGCAAAUGUCUGUAUGGACGGCUUCCUCAUACUCGGAUGGCAUUGCUUCCUCCCUGGCUCGUUCAUCUCUUCCCGGAAAGACUUCCUGUGAAGCUGAGCCAUCUGAAGAAUUCCAGGAAAGGAGUGGCCUUCUUCAUACACCCUGGGCUGGAAUAAAAACUCUCCUUUUACCUGAAUAAAGCUUAGUAAACACACUUUUAUUCAAUUUACUCUGAUUCGGAUUUAAAUUCUGGUUUAGAUUUAAAGAUGCUGAUGUAUAUUUCUAGAUAUUCUCUUCACGCAAGGAAUCAAUUUGUCUUUAAUUUAUGCUCAUAUUUUGUAUUGGAUGUAGAGAAUCACAGCAUGUUCAAAACUUGCAAACAUAGUGUUUUUAGUGAUGGACUAAUUACAUUAAUAUUUCCUAGUUAUGCCUUGCAAUGAUUCUCAUUUUCUAUUAAUGUAAGAACUAUUUGGAAAAGCUUGCCCAAACUAUUUCCUGUGACUAUGUUUAUAUUCCACUCCUUUAAGAGACUCAGUGUGAGUCGUGUACCUGACUCCACACUUCUGCGCUGUGGCUCAUCUGAUUCAUCAAGCAAUAGAGUCCACUUCCACUUUCCUGGUUCUGAACAACAUGUAGGGCUUGACCUGAGCCAAUUGCAGAUAGAUAUGUGUGUGGAGCCAUUCCAAUAUUUAGCCUGCCGUUGAAAUGGGAUGGAACCUUAGAACACAUCCUAAACUAUGAUGUAAGCAUAGAUGAACCCGGUAGUUGAGAUCCGUCAAAUUUCAGAACUGAAGAACUAUCAGCAAAUAAAUAAAUUCCUUCACCUCUA